rnacentral:rRNA from 1 species
UACAGAGGUCCCAAGCGUUGUUCGGAUUCAUUGGGCGUAAAGGGUGCGUAGGCGGCGCGGUAAGUCGGGUGUGAAAUCUCGGGGCUUAACUCCGAAACUGCAUUCGAUACUGCCGUGCUUGAGGACUGGAGAGGAGACUGGAAUUUACGGUGUAGCGGUGAAAUGCGUAGAUAUCGUAAGGAAGACCAGUGGCGAAAGGCGGGGUCUCUGGGACAGUUCCUUGACGCUGAGGCACGAAGGCCAGGGGGAGCAAACGGGG